rnacentral:sRNA from 1 species
UGCACAACUGUACAACAGCGAUGGCAAAGCGUUCGUACAUGACUGCUGUCAAAGCUAUCGAUAUUCUUAUCGGUACGACAACGCUUUUAAGCUCCUUAAUGGUGGCAUCUCGAUAUGGCCACACUAGUCCGUGGUAUAUCUGACAACGCCAUUCUCAGUGUUUAAAUUUCAUAUGUUGAUCAAUAUCGGUGUAGGUCUAGAUAAAAUACAAACAGACAAAAUCUGACCGAACUAACGUGCUUUGCAGUCGCUACAGGCGAUGCUACAAAACUCCCUGCCACAAUCAGACUAGGGUAUUUAUACUUAGUACCCUAGUCUGAUACGAUACCGCAUGGAGCGAUACCGCAAGGAAUAGUACGGCCGCUGGGACAUCAAUCACUCAUACGUCAUGUGGCGCAGCGGUACACAAAAAUCACGCAAACAUGAAAACGUUUUUCGUCCCACUGCCACAUUGUUGUUCUUGGAACAAUGAAUAAGGUAUAAACAGCAAAAGGGGAAGCCGCAAAAAGGAAAACAUGUCGCACCCCACAUAGUUGCCAGCGGUCCAGAAAGUACCCAAUAAAAACCUCUAAAAGCAUUCCAAAAUAAAGAAAAGUGCUGCUAAAAGAGCCUGAGAAAUUUGUAGUUGACAUCGCCUGCUGUGUGAAAGCACCAUUUUAGGGAACCAGCGUGUAAGGCUUUUGACUUACGGUGGGAAAAGGUGAUGAAUUUUAUUCUCAGUUUUUGCAUUGUAAACGCCACAUUGAGCCUCUCGACUAUCAGAUACCUGUUUGAGCUUGAAGGAGAAAGUUCCACAUUUUUUGGCUUAUCAAUGGAAAUUGCUUAGUCUCGAGGCGCUCAUACGGACAGAC